rnacentral:rRNA from 1 species
AAACCGCGAUAAGUCACUACUUCUGGAAUGGGUAAUGACUCAAAUCUACAUGGCCCCUGGAUUGGACUGCGGCCGAUCAGGCUGUUGGUGAGGUAAUGGCCCACCAAACCUGUAACCGGUACGGGCUCUGAGAGGAGGAGCCCGGAGAUGGGCACUGAGACAAGGGCCCAGGCCCUAUGGGGCGCAGCAGGCGCGAAACCUCUGCAAUAGGCGAAAGCCUGACAGGGUUACUCUGAGUGAUUUCCGUUAAGGAGAUCUUUUGGCACCUCUAAAAAUGGUGCAGAAUAAGGGGUGGGCAAGUCUGGUGUCAGCCGCCGCGGUAAUACCAGCACCCCGAGUGGUCGGGACGUUUAUUGGGCCUAAAGCAUCCGUAGCCGGUUCUACAAGUCUUCCGUUAAAUCCACCUGCUUAACAGAUGGGCUGCGGAAGAUACUAUAGAGCUAGGAGGCGGGAGAGGCAAGCGGUACUCGAUGGGUAGGGGUAAAAUCCGUUGAUCCAUUGAAGACCACCAGUGACGAAGGCGGCUUGCCAGAACGCGCUCGACGGUGAGGGAUGAAAGCUGGGGGAGCAAACCGGAUUAGAUACCCGGGUAGUCCCAGCUGUAAACGAUGCAGACUCGGUGAUGAAUUGGCUUUAUGCCAAUUCAGUGCCGCAGGGAAGCCGUUAAGUUUGCCGCC